rnacentral:rRNA from 1 species
CCAGACAGCCAGGAUGUUGGCUUAGAAGCAGCCAUCAUUUAAAGAAAGCGUAAUAGCUCACUGGUCGAGUCGGCCUGCGCGGAAGAUGUAACGGGGCUAAACCAUGCACCGAAGCUGCGGCAGCGACACUUAGUGUUGUUGGGUAGGGGAGCGUUCUGUAAGCCUGCGAAGGUGUGCUGUGAGGCAUGCUGGAGGUAUCAGAAGUGCGAAUGCUGACAUAAGUAACGAUAAAGCGGGUGAAAAGCCCGCUCGCCGGAAGACCAAGGGUUCCUGUCCAACGUUAAUCGGGGCAGGGUGAGUCGACCCCUAAGG